AUAUAAACGUUUAUCUCAUUAUCUUUCAAAUUGAAUUUCUUAGAAAGAACAGAUAUACUAGCCAGUAUUCUGAAUAGACUGAAUUCUGUCAGUAUCCUGAAUAGGCAAAUGAUCUUCAUUCCUUCAAUAUCUUUGCUCUCUUAUGUUAUGAUGUAUUUUAUGCUCUAACAAAAGCAUAUACACGAAUGCAUCACAUUAUAAUCAAGGCCAUGAAUGUUGGUAACAUGAACUAUGCAUAUUCUUUAAUGUUGUUUUUGAGUACAGGAAAAUAAAAUAUCUUGAGGUUUGGAGCAGAAAUACAAGUGAUACUUUCUAAUAUCACUAACUAAUUUCACUUUAGGGUUCCAUUAUCACAGCAGAGAUACUAGGUUUCAUUUUUAUUACUAACAGGCUUUACUUAUCACAGUAAAAAUAGGCUGCUAACCACAGAAAGUAAAAUUCAUCAUCAAAGUUCUGGUUUUGUUUAGGAAUCAGACUUUUUCAGAUAUUCUGUCAAAUAACAAACCCGAGUUAUCUACAUGUGACUUAAAAGAAACUACAUGUGUUUUGAAUGCAGAAUAUUUCCCCGUAAUAUCUGCAAAGCUAUACAUACCUGGAGAGCAUGUGCUAGAUAGAAUUAGAAGCCAAGGAAAAAGGGUAUCGACAAUGCUGAAACCAUCUUCCUGCCCGGAGGGUCAAGUAGUAUAACCAGAGUAAUAGUACUGCUUGCAUGAAUAGCUUACGGAUGAAAUCCACACACUGAUGUCUAACCUGUAAUAAAAGCCAAUCUGUGUUCCUGCUGUGACUUUUUGGCUCCACUAGUCACUGAGGAAACAAACUGAUGAUCCUCUCCCAGAUGCUACAGCCAGAGAAUGCAAUACCCACCUCAUAUUACAUGGAUUUUUAGACUAUAGCAAUUGCCUUUCUCACUUGUUCUGAUACUCAGUUAAAAAUUUACCCAUUCUGAUCCUUAAAUUAUUAUAAUUGUGCAUUAUUUAACUUAAGAGAUAUGAGUGGAAGAUGCAAAUCAAGACUAUUACAUUAGGUUUAUGUUUCAUGCAGUCUAAGUAAUACUGAGAAUAACGCUUGUGUAAUAUCAGUAUUAGCUUCUUAAGUCUGAAAUACAAGAGCAUAAUAAUGAAGAGAACUACUCAGUGCGCUUACACAUGAUAAUAUGCAUUUUGCUCUGUACAGGAUCGGGGCCUAUGUGCAUUAAGUGUGGAAUCUGAGAGCAAGUACUAAAUAUUAGGGGAUGUAAAAAUUUCACUUUCAUAAAAAAUCUUAAUGAAACCUUAGGAAUGACAUCUGAAAGGACAAUAGGGUGACUUAUAGAAGAGAACACCAUGUCCUGUUAAACAGAAUGACAUACUAUCUCCUAUAUCUUAUUCUUAUAUUACGGUUGGAAAAAUGAGUGAAAAAUAAUAACUAGAAUUAUUUUAGGGCAAAACUAUACAUAAUCUAAGUGCAGAGAAGUGGUAUCAGCAACAUCAUAAUUUUAUAUUUUUCUUCACUGCUUUCAUUGCUAUUUCUACUGCAAAGCCCCUUUUUCGCAAGCACACAACCUUCUGAAAAAAAAAUUAGAAGACAUUUCCUAUCAUUCUUUUCAGCUGAAAGGGACACUUUUUGAAAAUUUCAC